rnacentral:misc_RNA from 1 species
UUAAGUUCAGCGGGUAAUCCUACCUGAUUUGAGGUCAAACUUUCAAUAAAGUUGUCCACAAGGGACUGUUAGAAGCUGAACAGACAGAGAGCUUUCUAUAGUCUUAGGCGUAGAUAAUUAUCACACCAGUGACAGAUCGCAAACCGUUCCGCUAAUACAUUUUAGAGGAGCUGACCAACAAAGGCCUGCAAAACCCCCAU